GACGAACGCUGGCGGCGCGCUUAACACAUGCAAGUCGAGCGAUGAAAUCUUGACAGAACCCUUCGGGGCGAAGAUAAGAUGGAUUAGCGGCGGACGGGUGAGUAACACGUGAGUAACCUGCCUUAGACAUUGGGAUAGCCUCGGGAAACCGGGAUUAAUACCAAAUGAAAUCACAUAUGCACAUGCAUAAAUGAUCAAAGCUCCGGCGGUCUAAGAUGGACUCGCGUCCCAUUAGCUAGUUGGUGAGGUAACGGCCCACCAAGGCGACGAUGGGUAGCCGGCCUGAGAGGGUGAACGGCCACAUUGGAACUGAGAAACGGUCCAAACUCCUACGGGAGGCAGCAGUGGGGAAUAUUGCACAAUGGAGGGAACUCUGAUGCAGCGACGCCGCGUGAACGAAGAAGGCUUUCGAGUCGUAAAGUUCUUUUAUAUGGGAAGAUAAUGACGGUACCAUAAGAAAAAGCCCCGGCUAACUACGUGCCAGCAGCCGCGGUAAUACGUAGGGGGCUAGCGUUGUCCGGAAUCACUGGGUGUAAAGGGUUCGCAGGCGGAAAUGCAAGUCAGGUGUAAAAGGCAGUAGCUUAACUACUGUAAGCAUUUGAAACUGCAUAUCUUGAGAAGAGUAGAGGUAAGUGGAAUUUUUAGUGUAGCGGUGAAAUGCGUAGAUAUUAAAAAGAAUACCGGUGGCGAAGGCGACUUACUGGGCUCAUUCUGACGCUGAGGAACGAAAGCGUGGGUAGCAAACAGG
rnacentral:rRNA from 1 species